GUAAGUUUUCGAGCAAUGAGACUUAGUUUAUGAUUUGAUUAAGUCAUGAUGUAUGAGCAUAACAAAUAUACGGUGAUAUGAUGAUUCUACUUGAAUUAUAUGAUGAGUUAAUUAGUCUAUACGUAUGACGGUAGCCGUAUGUGCAUAGAGAUCGUGUCAUAAAGCAAACUAAACCAUGCUGUUUGUAUGUGGCUAGUGAGCCGAAAAUGGGAGUGCUUAAUACGUGACUUGUGUUUGAACUCUAAUUAUGAAAAUGAGAUAUAAAUGUGUCAUGAUUUAUUGAUAUGUGCAUGAAUAUUCGGAUGAUAACCG
rnacentral:lncRNA from 1 species